AUCCUUUUGUAGUUCAUGAGCGUGAUGGUUGGGUGUUCACGCAGCUGCACGACGUGUGCCCUUUCAACUCUUGUUACGACAGCGGCACAUUACCCGUCUGACG
rnacentral:snoRNA from 1 species